UACGUAGGGUGCGAGCGUUAAUUGGAAUUACUGGGCGUAAAGCGCGCGUAGGCCGUCGAGUAAGUCGGGUGUGAAAUCCCUGGGCUUAACCCUGGGAAUUGCAUUCGAUACUGCCUGACUAGAGUGUGGAAGAGGGAAGCGGAAUUUCCGGUGUAGCGGUGAAAUGCGUAGAUAUCGGAAGGAACACCAGUGGCGAAGGCGACUUCCUGGUCCAACACUGACGCUGAGGCGCGAAAGCUGGGGGGCAAACAGGAUUAGAUA
rnacentral:rRNA from 1 species